UUCUUUGUGGCGCAGUGGCAGCGCGCCGGGCCCAUGAGCCGGAGGCCCCUCGAUCGAAACGAGGCUUAGGAA